UUAAAAUAUGUUAAUGGUACACAGUAUGAAUAGAUGUAAAUUGUGACAUUGAUAACAUAAAGUGUGUGUGUCCGGGAUAAAAGUAUAACCUUUGUAUGCAAUUUAGCUUAAAUUGUUAUCAGCUUACAGUAAACAUAACUAUUGGUAUUUAAUGUAGGUCCCAUGGUAACCACAAAAAAUACUUGUAGAAAUUACACAAAAGAAAAAAAGAAGAAAAUGAAAGCACAGCAAUACAAAAAAAAUUAACGAAAUUCAAAGGAAAACAGCAAGAGGGGAAAAGAUGGGAAAAGAACUACAAGAGAAACAAAACAAUUAACAAAAUGGUAAUAGUAAAUCCAUCCCUAUUAAUAAUUACUUUAGAUACGGAUGGAUUAAACGCCUCAAUCAAAAGACAUAGAGUAACUGGAUGGAUUCUUAAAAUCCAACUGUAUGAUGUCUACAAGAAACUUGCUUUCGGUUGAAGGACACACAUAAGCUGAAUUAGAAGGGCUAGAAAAGGCUAUUACAUGGGAAUAGUAACAAAAGGAAUGCAGAGGUGGCUAUACAUAUACCAGGAAAAAUAGAUUUAAGUAAAAUAUUUUGUCACAAGAGAUAAAGAAAAACAAUAUAUCUCUAUCUAUCUAUAAUAGAAGAGUUAAUUCACCAAGAAGAUAUAACAAUUCUAAAUAUAUGCACCCAAGAGCAGAACACCUAAGUCUAUAAAGCAAAAAUUGAUAGAACUGACAGAGAACUAUAAAGCAAUACAAUAAUGGUAGGAGAUUUCACAGCCCCACUUUCAAUAAUGGAUUAAACAACCAGACAGAAAAUUGAAAAGAAGCAGUAGACUUAAACAAUGUGAAGUACCAAAUGGACCUAACAGACCUAUACAGAAAGUUUCACUCAACAGUAGUAGAAUAUACAUUCCUCGUAAGUGCACACAGAACACUCUUCAGUAUGGAUCACAUGUUAGUUCAUAAAACAACACUUUAUAAAUUUAAGAAGAUUUAAAUCAUACCAUGUAUUUUUUUCUGACCACAAUGGAAUGAAAUUAGAAAUCAAUAGUGGGGGAAAACUUAAACAUUUCCAAAUAUGUGGAAAAUAAACAAUGCACUUUUGAACAACCAAUAACUCAAAAACCAAAUCAAAGGAAAAUCAGAAAAUAUCUUGAUACAAACAAAAAUGGAAACACCAGACACCAAAACUUAUGAGAUGCAGGAAAAUAAAUAAGGACUGAGAAGGAAGUUUAAUGUGAAAAAUGUGUACAUUAAAAAAAGAAAGCUCUCAAAUAAAUAACCUAACUUUACACUGCAAGGAACUAGAAAAAGAAUAAACCAAAGAUGAAAUUAGCAGAAGGAAGGAAGUAAUGAAAUAUACAGCAGAAUUAAACAACAUAGAGAAUAGAAAAACAAUAAAAAGUCAAUAAAAUUAAGGGUUGGUUUUUUGAAAAGACCAACAAAAAUUAUAAAUCUUUAGUUAGACUAACCAAGGAAAAAAGAGAGAAAAACUCAAAUAAAUAAAACAAAAAUGUAAACAAAGACAUUAAAACUGAUGCCAUGGAAAUGAAAAGGGUCACAAGAGAUUACUGUAAGUAAUUGUCCACUAACAAACUGGAUAAUCUAGAAAAAAUGGAUAAAUUCCUAGAAACAUACAACCACCAAGACUAAAUCAUAAAUAAAUAGAAAGUCUGAGCAGACCUAUAACUGACAUGGAGAUUGAUUCAGUAAUCCAAAAUCUCCACAAAAGCCUAGGACCAGAUAGCUUUAAAGAAUUAGUAUUGAUAAUUCUCAAACACUUUCAAAAAACUGAAGAGGAGAAAGAAACUUCCAAACUCUUUUAUGAGGCCAGCAUUAUCCUAAUAUCCAAGCCAGACCAAGAUGUUACAAGAAAAAAAUUAGAGACCAAUAUCCCUGAUAAACAGAUGCAAAAAAAAAAAAACUAAAAAAAAAAUACUAGCAAGCUGAAUCCAACAGUGCGUUAAAAGGACCAUACACCAUGAACAAGAUGAAGAGAAAUUGUCUCUGCAGAUGAUGUGACUUUAUACAUAGGAAACCCUAAAGACUCCACAAAAAUCUGUUAACAAAUGAAUUCAGUAAAGUGACAGGAUACAAAAUCAAUAAAAAAAAAAAAUCAUUGGGAUUUCUAUACACUAAGAAUGAAAUACUGAAAAGAAAUUUAGAAAAACAAUCCAAUUUACAAUAGCACAAAAAAGAAUAAAAUACUUGGGAUUAAACUUAACUAAGGAGAUGAAAGACACAUAGUAAAAACUACAAAACACUGAGGAAAAAAUCAAAUAAGUCACAAACAUGUGGAAAGAUAUUCUGUGUUCAUAGAUUUAAAGACUUAAUAUUAUUAAAAUGUUCAUGCAACACAUAGUAAUCUACAGAUUCAAAAUACUAUCCCUAUCAAAAUCCCAAUAGCAUUUUUUAUAGAAAUAGAAAAACAAUUCUAAAAUUAAUGUGAAACCACAAAUGACCCCAAAUAGUCAAAUCAGUCUUGAGAAAGAAGAACAAAACUGGCAGUACCACACCUCCUGAUAUUAAAAUAUAUCACAAAGCUACAAUAAUUAAAAAUGUAUGGUACUGGCAUAAAGCUAGGCAUAUGGAACAAUGGAACAGAAAAGAGCCCAGAAAUAAAUUCAUGCACAUAUUGUGAACUGGUCAAGAGUGCCAAGUAUACACAAUGGGGAAAAGAUAGUUUCUUCAACAAAUGGUGCAGGGAAAACUGAUCAUCCACAUGCAAAAGAACAAAAUUAGAGCUUUGCCUUAUACCAUACACAAAAAUCAAUUUGAAAUGGAUUAAAGGCUCAGAUAAACAAACUAAAACCUCAAAACUUCCAGAAGAAACGAUGGGGCAAAGUUACACGACAGUAGUCUUGGCAAUCAUUUCAUGGAUAUGACACCAAAAGCACAGGCAACAAAAGCAAAAUCAGACAAGUGGAACUACAUCACACUAAAAAGCUGUACAGAAAAAAGAAAUUUGUAAAAAAAAAAAAACCUAUGGAAUUGGAUAAUUUGCAAAGCACAUAUCAAUUAAGGGACUAAUUUGUAAAAUAUAUUUAAAAACUCCUAAAAUUCAUUAGCAAAAAUACCCUUAAAAUCCAUUUUUAAAAUGGCUAAAGACUUGAACAGAUCUUUCCUCAAAGAAGACAUACAAAUGGCCAACAAGUAUAUAAAUAGAUGCUUAAUGUC
rnacentral:lncRNA from 10 species